rnacentral:ncRNA from 3 species
AGCAGCCGCGGUAAUUCCAGCUCCAAUAGCGUAUAUUAAAGUUGUUGCAGUUAAAAAGCUCGUAGUUGAAUUUCGGGAUCAAGGAAUCGGUCAUGCCUCGGUAUGUACUGGUUUUAUUGGUUCUCACCUUCUAAAGAACCAUGAUGUCAUUCAUUUGAUGUUAUGGGGAAUUAGGACUGUUACCUUGAAAAAAUUAGAGUGUUUAAAGCAGGCUUACGCUUGAAUACAUUAGCAUGGAAUAAUGAAAUAGGACAUCAGAUUCUAUUUUGUUGGUUUCUAGGAUCGAUGUAAUGAUUAAUAGGGAUAGUUGGGGGCAUUAGUAUUCAAUUGUCAGAGGUGAAAUUCUUGGAUUUAUUGAAGACUAACUACUGCGAAAGCAUUUGCCAAGGAUGUUUUCAUUAAUCAAGAACGAAAGUUAGGGGAUCGAAGACGAUCAGAUACCGUCGUAGUCUUAACCAUAAACUAUGCCGACUAGGGAUCGGAUGAUGUUAAUUUUUUAAUGACUCAUUCGGCGCCUUAC